AGAGUUUGAUCCUGGCUCAGGAUGAACGCUGGCGGCGUGCCUAAUACAUGCAAGUCGAACGCUUCACUUCGGUGAAGAGUGGCGAACGGGUGAGUAAUACAUAAGUAACCUGGCAUCUACAGGGGGAUAACUGAUGGAAACGUCAGCUAAGACCGCAUAGGUGUAGAGAUCGCAUGAACUCUAUAUGAAAAGUGCUACGGGACUGGUAGAUGAUGGACUUAUGGCGCAUUAGCUUGUUGGUAGGGUAACGGCCUACCAAGGCGACGAUGCGUAGCCGACCUGAGAGGGUGACCGGCCACACUGGGACUGAGACACGGCCCAGACUCCUACGGGAGGCAGCAGUAGGGAAUUUUCGGCAAUGGGGGAAACCCUGACCGAGCAACGCCGCGUGAAGGAAGAAGUAAUUCGUUAUGUAAACUUCUGUCAUAGAGGAAGAACGGUGGAUAUAGGGAAUGAUAUCCAAGUGACGGUACUCUAUAAGAAAGCCACGGCUAACUACGUGCCAGCAGCCGCGGUAAUACGUAGGUGGCGAGCGUUAUCCGGAAUUAUUGGGCGUAAAGAGGGAGCAGGCGGCACUAAGGGUCUGUGGUGAAAGAUCGAAGCUUAACUUCGGUAAGCCAUGGAAACCGUAGAGCUAGAGUGUGUGAGAGGAUCGUGGAAUUCCAUGUGUAGCGGUGAAAUGCGUAGAUAUAUGGAGGAACACCAGUGGCGAAGGCGACGAUCUGGCGCAUAACUGACGCUCAGUCCCGAAAGCGUGGGGAGCAAAUAGGAUUAGAUACCCUAGUAGUCCACGCCGUAAACGAUGAGUACUAAGUGUUGGGUGUCAAAGCUCAGUGCUGCAGUUAACGCAAUAAGUACUCCGCCUGAGUAGUACGUUCGCAAGAAUGAAACUCAAAGGAAUUGACGGGGGCCCGCACAAGCGGUGGAGCAUGUGGUUUAAUUCGAAGCAACGCGAAGAACCUUACCAAAUCUUGACAUCCCUCUGAAAGGCCUUUAAUCGGGCUCCUCCUUCGGGACAGAGGAGACAGGUGGUGCAUGGUUGUCGUCAGCUCGUGUCGUGAGAUGUUGGGUUAAGUCCCGCAACGAGCGCAACCCUUAUCCUCAGUAGCCAGCAGUAAGAUGGGCACUCUGGGGAGACUGCCAGGGAUAACCUGGAGGAAGGUGGGGAUGACGUCAAAUCAUCAUGCCCCUUAUGAUUUGGGCUACACACGUGCUACAAUGGCGUAAACAAAGGGAAGCGAGAGGGUGACCUGGAGCAAAUCCCAAAAAUAACGUCCCAGUUCGGACUGUAGUCUGCAACCCGACUACACGAAGCUGGAAUCGCUAGUAAUCGCAGAUCAGAAUGCUGCGGUGAAUACGUUCCCGGGUCUUGUACACACCGCCCGUCACACCAUGGGAGUCAGCAACGCCCGAAGUCAGUGACUCAACCGCAAGGAGAGAGCUGCCGAAGGCGGGGCAGGUAACUGGGGUGAAGUCGUAACAAGGUAGCCGUAUCGGAAGGUGCGGCUG
rnacentral:rRNA from 1 species